rnacentral:lncRNA from 1 species
CGGCCGCGCAGGACGCCGCACGCAGUCCCGCCCGGCCCGGCCCGGCCCUGCCCUGCCCUGCCCCGCGCGGGCGGCGCGAUGUGAGGCUCCUGAGGGCCCAGGCGUCCCCUGGCUCGCCAGCUCCGCGCAGCGCCGGCGCCAGCAUGCGCUAGGAACGGCCGCGGACCGCGGUGGCGGAGUUCCCGCUGGCCGGACCUACUGGCUCGGCGGGCCGUGGGGGAGCCCAGCAGCCCGGAGCUCCCCGCCUGGGGUCCCCAGCUCUCAGCCCCGGGUGUCAGAAAGUGGGGACACACCGCGAGGAAGCUCCACCGUGCACAGCCUCGCC